rnacentral:rRNA from 1 species
GUGGGGAAUAUUGGACAAUGGGCGAAAGCCUGAUCCAGCCAUGCCGCGUGUGUGAAGAAGGUCUUCGGAUUGUAAAGCACUUUAAGUUGGGAGGAAGGGCAGUAAGUUAAUACCUUGCUGUUUUGACGUUACCGACAGAAUAAGCACCGGCUAACUUCGUGCCAGCAGCCGCGGUAAUACGAAGGGUGCAAGCGUUAAUCGGAAUUACUGGGCGUAAAGCGCGCGUAGGUGGUUUUGUAAGUUGGAGGUGAAAUCCCCGGGCUCAACCUGGGAACUGCCUCCAAAACUGCAUGACUAGAGUACGGUAGAGGGUAGUGGAAUUUCCUGUGUAGCGGUGAAAUGCGUAGAUAUAGGAAGGAACACCAGUGGCGAAGGCGACCACCUGGACUGAUACUGACACUGAGGUGCGAAAGCGUGGGGAGCAAACAGGAUUAGAAACCCGAGUAGUCC